rnacentral:lncRNA from 1 species
UCUUAAUUAAAAAUUUUUAAAAAGGGCUGGGUGCAGUGGUGCACACCUAUAAUCCCAGCAGCUUGGGAGACUGAAGCAGGAGGAUCGUGAAUUCAAAGCCAACCUCAGCAAAAGCAAGGCUCUAAGCAACUCAGUGAGACCUUAUCUCUAAAUAAAAUAAAAAAAACAGGGCUGGUGAUGUAGCUCAGUGGUAGAGCAUUUGCCUAGCAUGUAUGAGGCCCUGGGUGGAAUUUCACAAUUCUGAAAAAAAGAAAAAGUGAAGAUUUGUCUAACUUAGGUAAUAUGGUGUAGAACCGUGUAGAGGUGAGGUAUAGAAACCUCACUUUUUCCUAAAAUUUAUAUCAUAGUAGUCUACACAAAAUUUUCUUAUUUUUGGUACUGAAGAUUGAAACCAGGGGUACUUAACUUCUGAACCACAUCCCUAACCCUAUUUUGAGACAAAGUCUGCUAAAUUGCUUAGGGCCUUGCUCAGUUGCUUAGGCUGGUAUUGAAUUUGUGAUCCUGCUGAAAAAGGAUCCAACUCAGCCUCCUGAGAUGCUGGAAUUACAGGUAUAUACCACCAUACCCCACCACACUUUCUUAAAAUAAAUUUGUAUUUCAUUACCAGAAAAUGUCAGGAACAGAUGAUUAUUUACGUACUCUAGAAAGUAAUGUAAUCCCCACAAAUACCUAUCUUGAAGAAUUUGGUUUAUUAUUAUGUGCCCAAAGAUAGUAUGAAGUUGAUUUUCAGAAGGCCUAAAUUCUGUUUUUUUCUCCACUUGACCAAUUAGAACUUCAUAUUUAAUGUGACUGGCCCUUAAUGUCAUUUCAAAACAUAUUAUAGAAAAAAUAGAAAGGACUGGGGAUGUAGCCCAGUGAAGUGCCCCUGGGUUCAAUCCUUAGUACCACUAAAUGUAUGUAUGUAUGUGUAUACAUAUAUAUGUAUGUGUAUGUAUCUAUCUAUAUUGGAUAUAUACAUACAUGUUUAUUUAUUUGUUACUCAGUUAAGGAAAGCCUGACAGCAAGCUGAAAUUAAGUACUAUUAAGUACUUCUAUCCUAAAUUCAGACUGGCUACUAACACAACAGCUUUGUAAGAACUGAGUGCAGCCAAGUGUGGUGGUGCAUUAUCUGUAAUCCCAGUGGCUUAGGAGGCAGAGGCAGGAAAAUCGUGAAUUCAAAGCCAGCCUCAGCAAUUUAGCGAGGAGCUAAGCAACUCAGUGAGACCCUGUCUCUAAAUAAAAUUCAAAAUAGGGCUGGGGAUUUGGCUCAAUGGUUGAGUGCCCUGAGUUCAAUCCCCAAUACCAAAAAAAAAAAAAAAAAAAAAAAGGAACUGAGUGCAAGAUGGUAUAUCACAAAAUGCAAAUAUGAUUCCUUUUUUUCUUUUUUGCAGUACUGGGGAUUGAAUCCAGUGGUGUUGUAAUACUGAACUAUAUCUCCAGUCUUUUUAUUUUUCAUUUUGAUACAGGGUUCACACUAAGCAGCCUAGACUGGCCUCAAACUUGCAAUCAAUCCUGUCUCAGCAUCCUGAGUAGCUGGGAUUACAGGUAUUCGCCACAGCAUAUAUUAUCACUGAUUGCCAAAACAGAUCUGUUAAGAAUUCUUUGCUGGGUGUAGUGGCACACACCUGUAAUCCUAGUGAAUAGGAGACUGAGGCAGGUGAAUCACAAGUUUGAAGCCAACCUCAGCAGAUUUAGUGAGCCCUAAGCAACUUGGGGAGACCCUGUCCCAAAAAAAUUACAGGGCUGGGGGUAUGGCUCAGUGACAAGGCACCCUGGGUUCAAUUCCCAGUACCAAAAACAAGCAAACAAAAACCAAAACAAUCCUUCAAGUUGCAUGUGCCAAUAGUUCCAUCCACUGGGGUGCUGAGGCAGAACUGUUUAAGCCUAGGAGCUUGAGACCAGCCUGGGCAACAUAGCAAGAUCCCAUCUCAAGAAACUUCUUUGAUGUAUAUUUAAAAGCUUAUCAUAUUCAAAUUAUUGUUAAGUCUAAAAUAUCCCCAUAUUAAUAGCUUUCUUGCUUCAUGGACACAUUCUGGCAAAAGGAAUAUUUAAAUUGCUACUCAAAAAAUAAUUCUGACUGUUCCUUAUCCUAUUUUGACUUCAUCUUCUCCAGAUGUGACUCUAACUACCUCAGCUACUUUAAAAGUUUUCAAUUUUGAUGAUAAAUUCAUCACCCUUUCAAGGCAAUUUUGUAACUAUUACUAUUUCUAAUUCUUUUUUAAAAAUAUAUAUUUUAGUUGUGGAUGGACAUGUUUGUUUUACUUAUUUUUAUGUGGUGCUGAGAAUCAAACCCAGUGCCUCAUACAUGCUAGGCUAGUGCUACACCACUGAGCUACAGCCCCAGCCCUGUUUCUCCUCAUUCUUAAUGGUUAUGGGAUCAUUUUGAUUUCAGAAAUAAAUAAAGCCAAGACUACCAAGCAGAAAUGUGUCCCACUGACUGUAUUUCUAAAGGUUUCUGGCCUUUCCAACCUUGAAGAUGCUAAAUCUUAACCCCAAGAUGAAAACAACUCCUCUGAAGAAAAUUUUCCAACCAUGCAGAGGAUUCUGCACCAAAUGCUUUGGACUAGGACAUGAGAAAGCUGAAACCCAGAGGAAGCACCUCCUACUGAAUCACAGGUAUCUCAAGUAUAAACUGCAGUCAAUCUGCUGGCCAUUAAAUGUCUUGGCACCCCCAGUCUGUCAGGAACCUCUCUUAAUACUUCAUUAGCUCUGGUGCUCUGUACACUGGUCCCUUGGCUUUAUCUACCCUAGGCACAAGAAACCAAGAAUCUGUUAUAGUUAUUUAGUGAGGUGAACUGGAUCUUAAAUACUAUCAAAAGCAGACAUAGACCUUCACUGCAGAAACAGAAAU